rnacentral:rRNA from 1 species
CUCUCGGGUGACGAGUGGCGGACGGGUGAGUAAUGUCUGGGGAUCUGCCCGAUAGAGGGGGAUAACCACUGGAAACGGUGGCUAAUACCGCAUAACGUCGCAAGACCAAAGAGGGGGACCUUCGGGCCUCUCACUAUCGGAUGAACCCAGAUGGGAUUAGCUAGUAGGCGGGGUAACGGCCCACCUAGGCGACGAUCCCUAGCUGGUCUGAGAGGAUGACCAGCCACACUGGAACUGAGACACGGUCCAGACUCCUACGGGAGGCAGCAGUGGGGAAUAUUGCACAAUGGGCGCAAGCCUGAUGCAGCCAUGCCGCGUGUAUGAAGAAGGCCUUCGGGUUGUAAAGUACUUUCAGCGGGGAGGAAGGCGAUGUGGUUAAUAACCGCGUCGAUUGACGUUACCCGCAGAAGAAGCACCGGCUAACUCCGUGCCAGCAGCCGCGGUAAUACGGAGGGUGCAAGCGUUAAUCGGAAUUACUGGGCGUAAAGCGCACGCAGGCGGUCUGUUAAGUCAGAUGUGAAAUCCCCGGGCUUAACCUGAGAACUGCAUUUGAAACUGGCAGGCUUGAGUCUCGUAGAGGGGGGUAGAAUUCCAGGUGUAGCGGUGAAAUGCGUAGAGAUCUGGAGGAAUACCGGUGGCGAAGGCGGCCCCCUG